UGAGAUCCCUUUGUUACCUCACCAAGGGAGCGAAAUCUGACAAGCUCGUUUUCUCAGAUGCUUGCAGAAAAAAGGCUUACCAAAAUAAAGUUACUGGGUUAACCUAUUUCACGUUUCCAUGGUUGGUAGAUGCACCGAAGACCUGAUUAUAGCACUUAAAACCUGGAAAAGUCCGAUUUUCAUGAUAUGUCACCUUUAAGUAUAUCAGUUUAGUAUGCUAAAAGUUGCAGGGUAUUUUUAUUAAGCAUAUUAUUAAGCAUUUUUAUUAAGGUAUUAAGGUAGAAUUUUAUUAAAAAUAUAAUGCAUUUGCAGUAUACUUGGCAUUAAAUAAAUGUAUUUAUGGCAUGCAUAAUACAGCGGUCAUUUUCAUGGAUCCAUGUAAAUGGGGAUUCUUUUGACAAAUUCUGUGAAACUUCUCAAAAACACAAAGGAAAAACUUUUCAGUUUUUAGUACAAUUGUUGCAAUGUAUAAAUACCCUACAGACAUGGAAUAAAAUCCACAAAACACUAAUUUUCUUUGUUAAAAUAUAAGUGUAUAUAAGGCUAGGCUUGGUGUUUUCAUUCAUUUUUGGUAGGAAUUAAAUGAGUUUCUGCCUUGAUCUGAAUGCCCAGAGAAUGUUUUCCGUAUGUUAAAAGCUUUUGCUUUGCUCUCUCCUUGCUGAGGCGCCGGUGUAUCUGAAGAGAACGCAGGGUCUCGCCAGGUCUCCCCAUACUUUAGGGCCCGUUGCAAAGCGACGUGCAGCCCAUGGCUAUGUCUGCAUUGAGUAAACUGUCAGUCCCCUUUUCAAAAGCUGCCCUGUUACCACGGCAACAGGCUCAAUGUCUCCGUCACUGCCAUUCAGGAUUUCACAGCCUCUGAAAACGGCGGAAGCAGGUCCCACACCAACGUCAUCUCUCAUCUUCCAGCCUUUAACACCAGACAGGUUGUGUUGUGCUGCGAGGGCUCGUGGGCCAGUGUUUCAGAUAAAGCUGCUUCGUUUCCUCUGCUUGAAUGGGUGCCGUCAGAAUGCGAGUCCAAACAGCCAAUAAAAACAUCACAAUAAUCCACAAGUAAUUCACACAGUAAGUCAAGUCCAUCAAAUAAUGUCUUAUGAAGCAAAAAAGCUGUCUGUAAUAACAAUAAUAAUAAUAAUAAGAAGAAGAAAAUCCAUCAAGAAAUUUUAACUUUAAACUGUUGCUUUCUUCAUAGGAACGCUUCCUCCAGCAAGUAUAUAAAUGCUAAAUUUUCAACUAAUUUAAAUUUUUAUAUGAACUGUUCUUUUAAGAUGAACUCUAUUCUACAUACUAACUUGAGAAUUUCCACAAUUUUCAUGUUUUCAUCACGAAGGUAUAGCACUGGAUUUAUAUACUUUCUUUCCUUUCUUUUCUUUUCUAGCAGAGUAUCAGCAAAGUAACAGCAAUGUUUGUCCGUUUUGUGUCAUUACCUCAUCAAUUGCAAAAAUAGUGAUAGUUUUCCAACAAGUUUCCCAAACACUUCCUUAGCUUGCCAUUGGUCAGUCAAACAGAUAACCCCACCCUAAAGCAGGAUUAGCUGGCCAGUCAGGUAAGUUUCAGUUUAGUUUGCACCAAUCCUGGGUUUUAGGUACCAUGAAAGUGGAAUCUUGCUGGAUCUCUCAUGAGAAGUGAAUCACACUUGCUCUGUGUUACAAGCCAUGUGACUGGCUGACGCUCGUGAUGUCACACAUUCAUGUGCAUGCGCUCUACAAACUCAGGAUCAAAGCCUGAGUUGACAAAGAAAAUUGAUGACCAGUAUCAUGGUACCAACAGAGCAGGAUUGGAGUGGGUUGGUUUUGUCAACUCGAAACUAAUCCUGUAACUCUGAAUUUGUUCAACUACCAUCAUGGUACAGGCCCCUGGUCAGGAUUCUCAAACGGAGAAGGCAAAUUCUUAGGCAAAUUUUUAGGCAAAUCGACCUACUUACUACUAAAUUACUUACGGUUGACUAAUUUGCAUAUUAAUCUGGAUAGAAUAAAUGAUUUUAACAGUGGAAAAGUGGAAAACA
ensembl:lncRNA